UAUGGUGAUUUUAGCGGUAAGGUCCACCUCUUCCCAUUCCGAACAGAGAAGUUAAGCUUACCAGCGCUGAUGAUACUAGGAUAAAACCCGGGAAAGUAAGUCAUUGCCAUAG
rnacentral:rRNA from 1 species